UCAACAUGUUCUUUAUUUAAUUAGUCUUUUAGGCAUUUAAAAGCACACGCAUAUUUAAAAGAAAAGGUCUAUUAUAAAGGAGAUGUAAAGCCAACUCGAAUACUUCAUCAUCAGAAUUCAGUUUGAUUCUUCUUCCCCUCUCCCUUUGUUCUAGGGGGAAGUAGGUUUUGCGCACGAUUUGGGGUUCAGCAGUAGGACUGGGUAGAAGUUGAGUCCACAAGGAUUUGUUGACUUUGCUUUCAAGGAGAUGCCGAGCUGUGGUCUUAGCCGAUGGCUGCACCCAGACUUCAAAUUAUAAAGUCUUCACCAAGGGUGAGAAGUAGCAUCUGAAGCGUCUCUGUGAAGAAAUUGGUUGCAGGGUUGCGUUGUCCACUCUACAGACCUCAUCCUAACCUGACAUCUGCAGAGGCCCUGUUUCCAAAGAAGUUCCCUGGGCAGGAGGAGGUGAUCUCAGUAGCGUAGGUGACACACAUUGAGGACCUGCACAGGAAGGAAGACAAGAAGCAGCCCUGGAUUUUUUGAGUGGAUCCCACAGCCCAGAAAAGCAGUGACUCUCAGAACUCAGAAAGUGCCAGCACCCUCCAGCCCAGACUGCGUCUGACCACUCACCCUCCUGACUGUUUCAGCUGGCUCAUACAGCCUGGUUAACAAGUUUGGAAGUGUUGCCUGCAUUUAAAACUUACAUAAAAGUUCCAAUUUCUGAAUUUUUUUUCCAAUGUCAGGUGAUCAAGCAUUCUCUCUUUCCCACAUUUCAACAACUGGCUGGCACCAAGGUGUGACUGUUACCCUUCAAACCUGCUCUCCAUUUUUCUGCAGUCUCCACCCAAGCAAUCUCCCCACCUACCUGUCUUCUGGCUUCUGCAAGUAUCUGACUUUCUGCAGGUAUGCAGUCAUAGCAACAGAAAAUGGACUGAGACAGUAAACUACUCAGCAUUUCUCAAUAGACGUGCCAGGCUGUUUGGUAAGUGUCAUGAUUGGCUUCUGGUGCCUAAAUGGUGGAGCUCACUGUAUAAGCCUGGAGUACAGAGAAGUGUUCUAGAAGCCUGCACACAGGACACAGAAGUGUAAUCUCCAAAGGGAAAAGAAGCUCAGGAAAGCUGUCUCAGCUCUGGGGCUGUGCUUGGCUUGUUGAGCAGAGUUCAUUCAUUCAUCUGGCAAUUGUUCAGUGAGCACCUACUCUGCACCAGACACUGAAAGCUGGGAAUCAUUGACCAUAGCCAAAACAAAUAUCUGCCCCUAGGUUGCUUAGACUCCCAUGAAAUGGCUUGAGAGAGUGGUUCAGGUGGGGUUAGGUGGAUACUUUGCUAAGAGCUGUUACACUAGCCAAGCAGGAUAUUAUUGUAAGAGAUUGAUGACAACGACGACUGCUGUGGAGAAGUUUACACUCUGCAUUGUUAGGACAUAGACCAGUGUCCCCAGUGAGACAAGAAACAGACCGAGACACCAAAGGCCAACCACUGAGAUAAGUAAGUGAUUGCAUUUUCUGGGGAUUUUGCUUGUAGAAGUCUGGAGGACCAGAAAGCCCUCCUGCUACAGAAGCCCUAUAUAGGAACAGCCCUGUUCACAACAGCAAAACCAAGACAGUAACAAGUUGUACCCCAAACCUGAGUAAAAUAGCAUCCACUGCUGUUCCCCAUGAAGAUCUCUUGCCAGGGAAGGUAGCCUGGAGGAAAAGGUGGCAUCCUUCACUGUGUGUCCUCAUUCAUAGUGUGGUGUAAAUCAGAGAAUGCCUGUGGGCUGGGGGGCUUGACCAUCACUAAAGAAGACCAGGCAAUGAUGAAGGUGGAGAAGUCAGGCUUUAUUUCACCCUCAGCCCUACUGCAGCCUACUUUAACGUCCAUUCAUAACAUCCAUGCCAAGAGAAUUUGGACCUUUUCUAGAUUACCUUAACAGAAUGUAACACUUUUGGGGAAAACACUGUGUUUAUUCUUGAAUUAGUGAUGGCUGCUAGAAAGAAUGGCUUAUCAGCUUCAAAGGACAAAGAGAUAAAGUUAGGAGCCAUGGUCGGUUGAAAGAAACAUUUGAAUAGUGAGAGCUAUAGAAGAAACACAAAGUUCACAGGGCAACGUGGUCUUUUCUUCUGAUCACUAAAGAAGAGAAGCAAAACCUGCCCUCUAGGGCAAGUCUAAUUAGCAAAAGCUGUUGAUUAAAAAAGUGAAAAGCCCCAGGUUAAUGAGAGGAAAAAGAGUCAGAGAUAUUUUAGAGUAGAGUCUAUAGAUACCAACACUAAGUCAAAGAGAUAUGCAAAGCAUCAUGGGUCAGAGGAACAGCACAUGAAUAAGACUCAUGGUUAUUAAAGGUUAAUUAUAAAGUCUUCUUCCAUACUGCUUAUAUUUCUUUAAUUUUUUACAGAUUGCUGUGGUUUGGAUAUGGUUUGAGUGUGUCCCUCAAAGCUUCCAGUGUUAAUAAGAGAGGCUAUAUCUUUAAGAGGUGGGGCCUAGUGGAAGAUGAUUAGGCCUUAGAGCCACUGCCCUCAGAAAGGAUUCAUGUAGUCCUGGAAGAACUGGGUUUUCUCUCCCAGAAGUGGGUUGUUAUAAAGGGAGGCCACUCCACAUAGUUAACCCAUUCUGCUCAUAGUGCUUCCCUUUCUGCUUCUCUAUCAUGUCUUGGCACAGCCAAGGGGACCCUUGUCCGAUGUCAGUGCCAUGCUGUUUGGACUUUCCAAGCAUACAGUCCUUUUUGUUAUUUAUACAUCACCCAGCAUCAGGUAUUGUUACAGAAGCACAAAACAGAGGAAGACACAUAUUUUUAAAAAUAUUAAAUACUAGCAGAGCAUACCAGUGUUAUGCUUAGCUUCUUAUAAAAAACCUUUCUGAAGGUAAAAUAAGUUUCAGUGUCUAUUGCUCAGUUGAUGAGCCUUUGUAAGCCCAGGUUCAAGGCUGCAGUUCAGACAUUGCAGUUCCCCCAAGAAAGCUAAAUAUAGGCAUAACCUAGAACAGAGUUUACUCAGCCUAUUGAUGGUAGCUCCCUAUCUCAGAGAAAAGUGACAAUAUAAUCAAUAUGUUGUUGCUGUCUUAUCACAGAAGUCAUACUGUUUUUAUCUUCUCUAAGCUUUAUUAUAAUGUAUGAUGUAUUGCUUUAAGUCAGCAUGUCUCAAAUUUUCACGUGUAUUCAAACCUCUUUCAUUGUUGUUGAAAUGCAGAUUCUGAUUCCACACAUCAAGGCAAGUAUCUGAGAUAAUGCAUUUCUCACAAGCUCCCAGAGACACUGCUGCGGCUGCUUUGUGUUCCACCUUCCAGGAGCAGUUCUCUGAAUCAGUUCACUCACCACUCUGUCCCCACAACUCCUAGUUUUGAAAGAAAGCCAAGACCCUGGAACUGUAGCUCUCAAGAUUCCCAAUACAUCCACAUCACCUUGAAGGCUCAUUUUAGAAUGCAAAUUCCAAGGCCCUCACCUGAAAGAUUCUGAUUCACCGCUGCCACUUCCAUGCAUGCCUAAACCUAAGCCUGGCUAUAGGACAGCUGCGCCACCAGGUCCUGCCAACUCCCCAGACUGGCCUCGUGCCACACCCCUUUGCUUGCAAAAAGCCUGCUUUGAUGGCCUUCUUUUUGAAUGUGCUGUGCUGGUUCUCAUGACUCUGUCUAGUUCUUUGGUCUGCUCAAAUGUCUCUUCCUUAGAGGGACUCUCCCCAGUCACACAGUUUAAAGUAGCGCUUUCUGCCACAGUCACUGUCCCUGUGCUUUCUUGCCUUACUGUCUGGAAUUAUUUUGCCCUUGUAUUUGUCUAUUGGUUCACUGUCUGUCUUCUAUGGCAGCAGGGACUCUAUCUGCCUUGUUCUCCACACUAACUUCCCAGUACCUAGUACAGUGCCAGAGAAAUGAGUGAAUGAAUGAGUGAAUGAAUGAAUAUGUAGAGGUGGAGAAAGAAGAUGUAAAGUAGACAAUGUCAUGCAUUCUGGCCUUGGAAACUUAAGAUUCUAGAGUGAAGCAGAGGUGAGCGUCUCAUCAACAAAAUUAUCCUAAGAGUAGAAAAGGAAUCACCAUUGUUCCUUCAGUAUGUGGAGGAAAAUUAAAUUAGGAAUAGACGAUGUAGAAUACAAAAGUCAUUGUCCUUCCUCUGUGUUUCAUUUUAAAAUGAUAAAAAUACAUGUUCCUGGUAGACAGUUGGGAAAAUAGAAAAAAUUUAAGUAAGAAUGUAUAUACCAUAUUAUCUGACCUCCUAUAGGUAACCGUGAUUUUCAUUUUUGUGUUUUUCCUUUUAAAUUAUUGUAAAUUCUUUCAAACAUGUGUAUCUUAUUAUGCACACAUACACAUAUAUAUGGCACAUAUACUUUCAUGUUCUGUUCUUUCAUUAUUUCACAUGAUAGGAUGAGCAUGUUCUUGUACCUAUAAAGUGUCUUUAAGACAUAUUUUAAUGGUUGUGUAAUAUGCCAUUAUAUGAUGGAAAUUUAUUAUAUAUUUUACUUUCUUUAAAGUGGAAUAGAAAUGGCUAAUAAAUGACCUUUUCUUUUGAUCAGAAUAGUGUUUGUCAACCAAGUUGAUUUUGCCCCUUUGGAGACAUUUGGCUUGGACCAGAGACAUUUUUGGUUAUCAGAGCUUGGAGAGGCCAUUGGCAUAUUGUAGGUAGGGGCCAGGGACUCUUCCAAGUCUCCCACAACACACAGGGCAGGCCCGACAACAAAGAAUUGCCUGGCCCAAAUGUCAAUAAUUCUGAGGUUGAGAAAUUUGCAAUUCAAGCCAGUGUCAGGGUUAAUAUUCAACAUCCACUUAAAAUUGAAAUUUUCAUUCUGCCAUUAAAGUAUAGACUUUGCCCUCAGAUCCUGCCUUAGGAUAAUGUCUCAGUUAAUUAGAACUUUAGUUACUAGAGUCUACAACAACUGAUAUUUUAUUUUCAUAAUUCUCAUUUUACUAGAAAUUUUUAAAAAAAACAAUAAAAAAUGAAAGUUGAGUUUGCAUUUUUAUAUUUAUUUACUUACUUAUUUUGCACAGCUGGUGCCCAAACCCAGGGCCACUUGGUGCUAGCCAAGCUCUGUACCACUGAGCCACAUAGCCAGCCCAAGGUUGUAGUUUAAAAAUGAGGUUCUAGGGAUGAACAUAAUGGCUCUGGAGUUCAUCCAUACUUGAGACCAUACUUUCCUAUAUUCAAACACCAAGACACAGAGAGCUCAGGGCAGUCUCAGGCUGUCACUUGAGCCCAGUAGAAAACACUUCUGUAAGGCAGAGAAGUGAUUCAGUCAUUUUAGAAAUAGACAUCACAAAAGUCUUUAAAAGGGGGUUUUGAGGAGUACUUUGUUAAAUUCAGACAUUUAAAAUUCUAUUCCCUGAACCUUUUUCUGAAUGGAACUUUUACUCUUCUAUGCCUUUUGCAAUAUGUGAAUUUGCUGGGGGAAUUCCACAUUUGGUAAACAAAGUCAUUGAAACCACCUUCCUCUGUUAAGAAAUGUGAACAUCCCAUUUAUCUUAGAUUUAGAUCUUUGAGGCUUUACCUGACCUUUGCAUGGAGAUAAUUGGUACAGAACAAUAUGUUAGGGUAUGCCUCCAUAGGGAAUCCAAAUACCAUUGGUUUGUUCUAGAACAAAGAGGACGUUUGCUAUUCCUUUUCUUCUGUCCAGAUUCUUACUGGGGUUGAUUGUGAAUAGAAAGGAGUUUAACUUGGAAAUAUUUGGAAUUGCAUUUGAGAUAUUUAAAAGAAUAAACAAAAGGCCUUCCCAAGGAGGUGCUAGAUAAAAGUUAUCAAACUCAGCAGAAUCAGGAAUCACUUUCUGAGCCAUAACAAUGGCAAUGCAAUUCUUGUUAACAUAGGAUCAGAGCUGAGAGCCUGCAAGGAUGGACUGAGGUCAGUGCUUCACACCUUGAGAUUGAUGUGUGCCUCUGAGGGUUGCAUUUGUUGGCAACUGUGCCUUCUGCAGUAUUUUAUGUGGCUGAUCUUCAAGGCUUUGGACCUGCUAUGAAAGGAUUGGAUGAAGACAAGAAGCAUUUCUUGGCUCUCAUCGCUACAUCAGCUAACAACACAGACUGUAUCAUUUGGGAGACCUGCAAGAAGAAGGCAGGGGGUCACAAAAGAGAGACCCAUAGGAAGACAAUUAAAAAUAAGCAAUCAUGUGCUCAGAGAGAAUAUGCUGGCUAUAAAAUAAGUGCAGGAAGAAAAGAGAUGGAUGGGAAGUCAAUUCUUAGGUCUCUCUCUUUUGGGUGAUAUGCAGUCUUUCUUUUUUGCCUUCCGCUCUCAGUUGGCAACCUUUGGUUUCUAAAUGUGCACUUCUUUGUAAUUUUCCACUAAAAUACUUAUCAGCUGCAGUGUAUGAUAUACACAAUGCUUUCAAGAUUUGUAAGGCUGAAGAAAGAAAAGUGCAUUGCUUACUGGAAAGAUACAGUAUAUACAUCUGCAGACACAGAUGUACCCAAAUAUGUGGGUGGUGGCACAGAACAUAGGCCCUCCAGAUACACACACACACACACACACACACACACACCUGGAGAUGUCUAUAAACUUAGGCAAUUUUCCAAAAAGGAUUUGCUCAUAUUCAACUGAAUCAAAUAGUUUGGACUGGAGUGGUGUAGGUGAUAAAAAAUGGGAAGUAGAAGAGAAUAAAGUUCAAAAUGUGGACAAAUGUCUUUCCCAAUGCAGAAUCCCUCCACAUAGUGACUCCAUCUCAAUAAACCCAGACUAAAUUAUUACUUCAAUUUAGUCUCUAAUUCUGCACAUACUUAGACCACAUCUACCUGCCCAGCAGAUACCAUGACAACACUCCUGAAUAUGAUACUGGUUUUGCCCUCAAGAAUUAGGUCUAAGUGGAGCAUGUGACAAUUUUACAAAUAGUUGUUGCAUAAAUCAUCAAGUACUGCUUCAAACUGACUUUCAGAUUCUAAACCAGACUGUCAGAAGUGGCACCUAGUAUUCCUUUCAAAUAUUUCCAGUCAGUGCAGCUGGACCUUCUAGUAGGCCACACAGUCCACACUGUGGUAAACACUCUACUUAUCAAUGGUCAUGUGAUAGAAAAUGUUAGUUGGAUUCUUUGUUAAAACAAAGGGAGCUUCCUUGUAAGUGGGGUUGAUAGUAAUUUGAUUGGAGGAUUUUUAGGCCCAGAGUAAUUUUCUUUGUUCUUUGAUACUAAAAGAGACUGCAGCUUAGAAAGUGUGAGUAAACUAACCAAGGUCACACAGUUAGCAGAUUUUUGUUUUUCCACCUUCUUCCUGUUCUGCUGUUUCAUUCAUAAUAUCACUCAUGCCUAGACAUCAAGUAAAACAGGAAACUUGGCUGUGUUGGCUUUGGGUGUCUAACGAUACCUUCAUCCAGGCAGGAAAGACAGAAGAUUCCACUGAGAUAAACCAUGUAUAGUCAAUAGCUGAAUGUCUGCUUUAUAACAGAGUUCAAUAAACCUGGA